rnacentral:misc_RNA from 1 species
UUUUUUUUUUUUUUUUUUUGUCCAAAUCUCAGUCUCGCACUGCAUAAAUAAAAAUAAAACAGAGCCAACUCUGGAAACGCAUACAACACGGCUGGUGCCCUAGUCCUGAUAGAAGAAUCUAUGAAUACAGUGCAUGCUGCCAUGGGGAAAACCCAGACUUAUAUUCACAUCUUCUUCUAUCUUUCACACCAUUUUAUGCGUGUAAAGGAAACCCUUCUGAAGCCAAACCAAAUGAGCUUCAAUAAUUUUUACACUGCUCAAAACAGUAAUAAAGAGAGGAAUCCUAUCUGUUAGUCCUGAAGAACUUUCAACAAGUGACUGACCAUGUAAAGAACAAAGUGAAAAAAGAAACAAGAUAAAGUAGUUUCUUGGUCGCCUUUUCUUUCUUCUUUUUUUGUUUACCAUGAUCCUCCACCUCCACCAAACAUUCCGUUCCAAUAUGCACUGGAAGAAGUCCCUUGUCCCUUAUUUUGAUCGACUUCGGUUGCACUUGAUAGCUGUUUCAUCUCUCCAAAAGGAAAACAAAUCCUGCCACCAUUCUCUUGAACUCCAUAUCUACUGCCAAUCCCCUCAACAGAAAAGCUGAGUGUUGGCUUGAAUUCUUGCAUGGGGAACCCAGAAGAAUACAGUGUGUUUGAAUC